GGGAGUUUUAUUAGCUGUGAGAUGACACCAUAGAAGGCUACAAAUCAUUUAAUAGUGGGAGGGGGUCGGGACACAAGGACGGGGAGGGGGUGAGAGGAGCGGGAGGUGAAAUAAUUGGGUAACAGGAUUAUGGAUGGGAGUUUUAUUAGCUGUGAGAUGACACCAUAGAAGGUUACAAAUCAUUUGAUACUAAUUGGGAGGGGGCCAUUACAUGAAGAGGGGGUAGGGAC